AAGUUAAAGCUGAUUAUGCGAGUAUAUUUUAGGUAAACUAUCAAAUGCAAAUGGGGGGCUUGGCUGGCAAAGUGGAGAUGAAGGAAGAUGCCGAGAUUCUGCGAUUUCACAGUCCGUGAAAUACUCUUAGUUGUGCCUCAAAUGCAUAUCUAUGCACCUCAAUAUUAACCAUCUUAAAGAUAUCUUUCACCAAAGCGCCAUGGGGCUUGCCUUUAAGCCGUCGUAACUUCUUGGGAAAUCCAUAAACUCACUUGCCCUAUCAGACCAAAGCUGCAGAUACGACAAAUGCAUUUGGAAUGCAAUUCAAUUUCCUUUUUGGCCCGAUCCGCGUCCUUGGCGGUGGCUUUCACUGCUGCUAUUGUUGGAAUGUUGGCCUUAAUUUACCAAAAACGUUUUUCCAGCAAUUUACUGCAGGUCGCUGCGACAUUUCACUUGGCAUGGCUUAAUUUCCAAUUGACACUGGGAUAUUGGCGGUGGAUUAGUUUCGCCCCCGUUCGCAAAUCAAUUCCCGGAGAGCGAUCUAGAGUUCCAUCCCUAUCCCUAUACCCAUCCCCCUCACCUUCACCCUCUUUCUUACCAUCAGCCAGGCCAUUAGCAAAUAUGUUAAACUCUGUUUGCACUGAGCUUGAGUUCAAUUA